rnacentral:rRNA from 1 species
AGUGGCGGACGGGUGAGUAAGGCAUAGGAAUCUACCUAGAAGUGAAGAAUAGCCUGGGGAAACUCAGGAUAAUACUGCAUAUGUCCUACGGGGCAAAGCAUGGGAUCUUCGGACCAUGCGCUUUUAGAUGAGCCUGUGUUAGAUUAGCUAGUUGGUGGGGUAAAGGCCUACCAAGGCGACGAUCUAUAGCUGUUCUGAGAGGAAGAUCAGCCACACUGGGACUGAGACACGGCCCAGACUCCUACGGGAGGCAGCAGUGGGGAAUAUUGGACAAUGGGGGAAACCCUGAUCCAGCAAUGCCGCGUGUGUGAAGAAGGCCUUCGGGUUGUAAAGCACUUUCAGUUAGGAAGAAGGUUUGAGAGUUAAUAGCUUUCAGAUUUGACGUUACUAACAGAAGAAGCACCGGCUAACUCUGCGCCAGCAGCCGCGGUAAUACAGAGGGUGCGAGCGUUAAUCGGAAUUACUGGGCGUAAAGGGUGCGUAGGCGGUUAUAUAAGUUAGGUGUGAAAUCCCUUGGGCUUAACCUAGGAAUUGCGCUUAAGACUGUAUAGCUAGAGUAUUGGAGAGGAAAGUGGAAUUUCCGGUGUAGCGGUGAAAUGCGUAGAUAUCGGAAGGAACACCAGUGGCGAAGGCGACUUUCUGGCCAAAUACUGACGCUGAGGCACGAAAGCGUGGGUAGCAAACAGGAUUAGAUACCCUGGUAGUCCGCGCUGUAAAUGGUGAAGACUAGCUGUCAUGUACUGGAUACACGGUAGCGAAGCAAACGCGUUAAGUCUUCCGCCUGGGGAGUAC